UUUGGAUGAACGAAUAGUGAAUAUAUCACAUAAAGUUCUAGAUAGUGACUUGAUAAUGACAUUUCCUAUCUUAGUCUUGACCAAUCUACGUGCCAGCAGUCGCGGUAAUACGUUAAAGGCGAGCGUUAGUCAUCUUUAUUGGGUUUAAAGGGUACCUAGACGGUAGAUUAAGCCUUUAAAGGGUACUUAUCUUACUAGAGUUUUAUAAAAGAGGUAUAUUAGAACCAGCGGAGUAAAGAUUAAAUUUUUAGAUACGGUUGGGACUGGUAAGGGCGAAAGCAACCCUCUAUGUAAAAACUGACGUUGAGGGACGAAGGCUAGGGUAGCGAAUAGGAUUAGAUACCCUAAUAGUCCUAGCAGUAAAUUAUGAGUGCCAUUGUUUAGAUUAUUUUGAACUGUAAAUGAAAGUGAAAGCAUUCCACCUCAGGAGUAAUGUGGCUACGCAGAAAUUGAAAUCAUUAGACCGUUUCUAAGAACAGAGAUGAAGUAUGUUAUUUAAUUCGAUGACCCGCGAAAAACCUUACCAUCUACUUGAAUACUUUAGCUAUUUUUUAGCUUAUUUUACAGGUGUUGCACGGCUGUCUUCAGUUGAUGUCGUGAGAUACAGGUUAGCUCCAUUUAAUCAACGAAAACCCUUAUUUUAUUUAUUAUAAAGUAUAUUGCCAAUAUAUUGGUUAAAAUAACAGGGACUAGGACAAGCACUCGCGGCCUU
rnacentral:rRNA from 1 species